GUAGUACUCCGUCCCGAAAUACUAGUCGAAGAAAUGAAUAAAAAUGGAUGUAUCUAGAACUAAAAUACGUCUAGAUACAUCCAUUUCUCCGACAAGUAUUUUCAGACGGAGGGAGUACAAC
rnacentral:pre_miRNA from 1 species